AUACGGAGGAUGCGAGCGUUAUCCGGAUUUAUUGGGUUUAAAAGGUGCGCAGGCGGGCGAUUAAGUCAGCGGUGAAAGGCUCGGGCUCAACCGGAGCAGUGCCGUUGAUACUGGGUGUCUUGAAUGCGGUCAAGGCCGGCGGAAUGUGGCGUGUAGCGGUGAAAUGCAUAGAUAUGCCACAGAACACCGAUAGCGAAGGCAGCUGGCCGGGCCUGCAUUGACGCUGAGGCACGAAAGCGUGGGGAUCGAACAGGAUUAGAUACCCUGGUAGUCCACGCUGUAAACGAUGGACACUCGUUGUCGGCGACAGACAGUCGGCGGCCAAGCGAAAGUGAUAAGUGUCCCACCUGGGGAGUACGGUCGCAAGGCUGAAACUCAAAUGAAUUGACGGGG
rnacentral:rRNA from 1 species